GGUUAAGCGACUAAGCGUACACGGUGGAUGCCCCGGCAGUCAGAGGCGAUGAAGGACGUGCUAAUCUGCGAUAAGCGUCGGUAAGGUGAUAUGAACCGUUAUAACCGGCGAUUUCCGAAUGGGGAAACCCAGUGUGUUUCGACACACUAUCAUUAACUGAAUCCAUAGGUUAAUGAGGCGAACCGGGGAACUGAAACAUCUAAGUACCCCGAGGAAAAGAAAUCAACCGAGAUUCCCCCAGUAGCGGCGAGCGAACGGGGAGGAGCCCAGAGCCUGAAUCAGUGUGUGUGUUAGUGGAAGCGUCUGGAAAGGCGCGCGAUACAGGGUGACAGCCCCGUACACAAAAAUGCACAUACUGUGAGCUCGAUGAGUAGGGCGGGACACGUGGUAUCCUGUCUGAAUAUGGGGGGACCAUCCUCCAAGGCUAAAUACUCCUGACUGACCGAUAGUGAACCAGUACCGUGAGGGAAAGGCGAAAAGAACCCCGGCGAGGGGAGUGAAAAAGAACCUGAAACCGUGUACGUACAAGCAGUGGGAGCCUCUUUAUGGGGUGACUGCGUACCUUUUGUAUAAUGGGUCAGCGACUUAUAUUCUGUAGCAAGGUUAACCGAAUAGGGAGCCGAAGGGAAACCGAGUCUUAACUGGGCGUUAAGUUGCAGGGUAUAGACCCGAAACCCGGUGAUCUCAGCCAUGGGCAGGUUGAAGGUUGGGUAACACUAACUGGAGGACCGAACCGACUAAUGUUGAAAAAUUAGCGGAUGACUUGUGGCUGGGGGUGAAAGGCCAAUCAAACCGGGAGAUAGCUGGUUCUCCCCGAAAGCUAUUUAGGUAGCGCCUCGUGAAUUCAUCUCCGGGGUAGAGCACUGUUUCGGCAAGGGGGUCAUCCCGACUUACCAACCCGAUGCAAACUGCGAAUACCGGAGAAUGUUAUCACGGGAGACACACGGCGGGUGCUAACGUCCGUCGUGAAGAGGGAAACAACCCAGACCGCCAGCUAAGGUCCCAAAGUCAUGGUUAAGUGGGAAACGAUGUGGGAAGGCCCAGACAGCCAGGAUGUUGGCUUAGAAGCAGCCAUCAUUUAAAGAAAGCGUAAUAGCUCACUGGUCGAGUCGGCCUGCGCGGAAGAUGUAACGGGGCUAAACCAUGCACCGAAGCUGCGGCAGCGACGCUUAUGCGUUGUUGGGUAGGGGAGCGUUCUGUAAGCCUGCGAAGGUGUGCUGUGAGGCAUGCUGGAGGUAUCAGAAGUGCGAAUGCUGACAUAAGUAACGAUAAAGCGGGUGAAAAGCCCGCUCGCCGGAAGACCAAGGGUUCCUGUCCAACGUUAAUCGGGGCAGGGUGAGUCGACCCCUAAGGCGAGGCCGAAAGGCGUAGUCGAUGGGAAACAGGUUAAUAUUCCUGUACUUGGUGUUACUGCGAAGGGGGGACGGAGAAGGCUAUGUUGGCCGGGCGACGGUUGUCCCGGUUUAAGCGUGUAGGCUGGUUUUCCAGGCAAAUCCGGAAAAUCAAGGCUGAGGCGUGAUGACGAGGCACUACGGUGCUGAAGCAACAAAUGCCCUGCUUCCAGGAAAAGCCUCUAAGCAUCAGGUAACAUCAAAUCGUACCCCAAACCGACACAGGUGGUCAGGUAGAGAAUACCAAGGCGCUUGAGAGAACUCGGGUGAAGGAACUAGGCAAAAUGGUGCCGUAACUUCGGGAGAAGGCACGCUGAUAUGUAGGUGAAGCGACUUGCUCGUGGAGCUGAAAUCAGUCGAAGAUACCAGCUGGCUGCAACUGUUUAUUAAAAACACAGCACUGUGCAAACACGAAAGUGGACGUAUACGGUGUGACGCCUGCCCGGUGCCGGAAGGUUAAUUGAUGGGGUUAGCGGUAACGCGAAGCUCUUGAUCGAAGCCCCGGUAAACGGCGACUCGUAACUAUAACGGUCCUAAGGUAGCGAAAUUCCUUGUCGGGUAAGUUCCGACCUGCACGAAUGGCGUAAUGAUGGCCAGGCUGUCUCCACCCGAGACUCAGUGAAAUUGAACUCGCUGUGAAGAUGCAGUGUACCCGCGGCAAGACGGAAAGACCCCGUGAACCUUUACUAUAGCUUGACACUGAACAUUGAGCCUUGAUGUGUAGGAUAGGUGGGAGGCUUUGAAGUGUGGACGCCAGUCUGCAUGGAGCCGACCUUGAAAUACCACCCUUUAAUGUUUGAUGUUCUAACGUUGGCCCCUGAUCGGGGUUGCGGACAGUGUCUGGUGGGUAGUUUGACUGGGGCGGUCUCCUCCUAAAGAGUAACGGAGGAGCACGAAGGUUGGCUAAUCCUGGUCGGACAUCAGGAGGUUAGUGCAAUGGCAUAAGCCAGCUUGACUGCGAGCGUGACGGCGCGAGCAGGUGCGAAAGCAGGUCAUAGUGAUCCGGUGGUUCUGAAUGGAAGGGCCAUCGCUCAACGGAUAAAAGGUACUCCGGGGAUAACAGGCUGAUACCGCCCAAGAGUUCAUAUCGACGGCGGUGUUUGGCACCUCGAUGUCGGCUCAUCACAUCCUGGGGCUGAAGUAGGUCCCAAGGGUAUGGCUGUUCGCCAUUUAAAGUGGUACGCGAGCUGGGUUUAGAACGUCGUGAGACAGUUCGGUCCCUAUCUGCCGUGGGCGCUGGAGAACUGAGGGGGGCUGCUCCUAGUACGAGAGGACCGGAGUGGACGCAUCACUGGUGUUCGGGUUGUCAUGCCAAUGGCACUGCCCGGUAGCUAAAUGCGGAAGAGAUAAGUGCUGAAAGCAUCUAAGCACGAAACUUGCCCCGAGAUGAGUUCUCCCUGAGACUUUAAGUCUCCUGAAGGAACGUUGAAGACGACGACGUUGAUAGGCCGGGUGUGUAAGCGCAGCGAUGCGUUGAGCUAACCGGUACUAAUGAACCGUGAGGCUUAACCUU
rnacentral:rRNA from 1 species